rnacentral:rRNA from 1 species
AGAAUCAACGCUGGCGGCGUGCCUAACACAUGCAAGUCGAACGAGAAAGUGGAGCAAUCCAUGAGUACAGUGGCGACCGGGUGAGUAACACGUGACUAACCUACCCUCGAGUGGGGAAUAACUCCGGGAAACCGGAGCUAAUACCGCAUAACAUCGCAAGAUCAAAGCCGAAAGGCGCUUGAGGAGGGGGUCGCGGCUGAUUAGCUAGUUGGCGGGGUAAUGGCCCACCAAGGCUUAGAUCGGUA